rnacentral:rRNA from 1 species
CACGUAGGGGGCAAGCGUUGUCCGGAAUUAUUGGGCGUAAAGGGCUCGUAGGCGGUCCGUCACGUCGGGAGUGAAAACUCGGGGCUCAACCCCGAGCCUGCUUUCGAUACGGGCGGACUAGAGGUAGGUAGGGGAGAACGGAAUUCCUGGUGUAGCGGUGGAAUGCGCAGAUAUCAGGAGGAACACCGGUGGCGAAGGCGGUUCUCUGGGCCUUACCUGACGCUGAGGAGCGAAAGCGUGGGGAGCGAACAGG